AGAUUUUGGUGAUGAUCAACUUUCUUACCUACAUUGUAUGAAAGAAAGAUGUGAUUAAAUUUCACUGACUGAAAAAUCU